GGAAAAACAGCUGGCACCCACACUUGAAGUCUCCUGCUUGGGAGAGGUUCAGUGACCCAAGUUCCAGCACCUGGGGCAGAAAUUGUCACUACAGAGCUCCUCCACAGCUUGCUCUCUGCAGCUCAGAAGUUCACCUUACCAACUGCUAUUUGACACCAAAGGAAUCUUCCCAGCUAAUAUAUUUUACAAAAGGCAUUACAAAUUCUAUUUUAGAAAUUGAUUUUUGCCAGCAAAGGUCACCACACUGGCUUCUGUGGGUGGUAUGGGAGAGUCACCUGUCAGCCACCGAGUGCCUUGUAAUGGAGCUGGGGAAGGACCGAGGUGACUCAGCAUAGGCUGGCCUUCUGAUAGAUGGCUUUGCCCUCGAGGCAGUGUGCAUCUGCACAGAGCCCACAGUCCCCUUUCCCGGUGGGAUUAACCCCUGGGGCUGGGCAAGAGCAGCCUGCAGCCGCCUCUCUGCAGCUGGAUCCAUUCCUUCCCACCUGCAGGAACCAUUCCUUCUCACCCAAAGGAGCCUAAAGGAUCUUGGGAUCUUUCAGCUUGAACCGCUGGUUUCCCCUGAUGCCUCCAGCUGGAGAAAAUUGCCAUGGCAAAUCCAUGCCUAGAUCAGAAGUGUCCCAACCAGAAUUACGUGGAAGACUGACGUCCCUCUUUGAGUGAAUUGAGGCUUAGAGAAAUUAAAUUGAAGUUCAUUUUCUCCACAUUAUUUUUAUUUCUGCCUCUCUGGAAACUGAAACCGUGUAAGGCUGGUUCUACAAAAGAAUGAGAAAUUGGAGAGCAAAGGCGAUAGCAAGACACUCAGCAGAGAGUGCUCCAAGAAGUGCUCUUAAAUUAUUAAAGAGAACUAGCAGAAAAGUGAAGAGAUGUGGGGGUAGGCAGAGAGAGCAGGAGCAAGAGAGCAUGUUUGCACCAUCCUGGAUCACACAGGGUACUUUUCCAAUCUGUCCCUAUUUAGACAUAUCUCUGUGCAGUUUUGAUUUCCCCCAAGGCUUGGGGAACUCUGCUAGAUCAAACAUUCAAAAGACCUUUUAGAAUUGAACACGUGCAUGAACAGCCCCAUGAGCAGAAAGGGAUGGAAGCACUGCAAGGGAGAGCAGAAGGCAAAAGAGGCAGGAAAUUGCCUUAAGAUGCAAUAUAGGUGCUGUUUCCCCAGAGCUAAGGUGGGUGGACCAGUCAUCUACAGGGCACCGAGCAGUGCCAGGAGCUGCUGACACGGAUGGGAACUGAAGGUUGUGGCUGCCUGGCAUCGCCAGGGUGCACCUGGCAGUCAGAGGACCGGAACCAGGACACCCCCUCCUCUGAUUCAGCCCCUGAGUCACCCACACUGUGCUGGCCUUCAGCCGGGACAAUGGACACAGCUGCUCUGCAUUUCUCCUGCUGCAGCAGAAGAGACAUCUCUGCCUGAGCCACCUCUCCUCCCUUGGCAUCCCUGUUUAGCUCAUCCUGGGAGCUGCACGCUGGGUUUGCCAUUGUGUUUCUCCAGCAAGAAGCAGUCUUCUAACCAUGCACAGAUAAGGCUUUACCUAACAGCUUCUCCUUGGAAAAAAUAAGGUUGACGUGUUCUGAUUCUAAAGGCAGUAAAACCACCAUGAGAUCAUCCAGUUUUAUUAAGGAAAGCAUGAGCCAAUUGUCUCACAAACACAGCCCCUAGAAACUCCCUGCUUAAGCAAUAUGCAGUGGCAGAUCUAGAGGAAAACAGGUAAUGCCCAUCGCUGUUUAACCGAUGAUUGUGCAUUCAGGCAUCAUAAACACACAAAGACAGCCUUCGUUUCAAAGAGCUUCAGUUUUCAGCACGUUACUCCUCACAGCUCACCACCCAUCCAUCAUACUUGCCUGUAUGCCUUUGAUGUGAAAAAAGAGUCAACCAUCAGAAUUGUAGCAAUGAUCAGAAACACCCCAGCAUUGCUUUGCUCUGAGGCAGCUCCUGCCCCUGACGGAAUCCAUGCACUGCAGAGCUGCGCCCUGAACUGCGGAUGUCAUCGAGCAGUAAUUAGGCAAUGACACUGUCUACCAGAAAAUCUGCUGUGUUUGGCUGUAACCACAACAGAGCCCACGGCAGUCUUAGCCCAGGCUGAUUUUUUCCCUUUAUUUUAUUUUAUUUUUUUGUCUUUAUAAUAAACCAGACCUUUCAACACCCACAUGCUUUACAAAUAA
ensembl:lncRNA